UUAUAGUUUGCUUCUCUGCUUGAGAAGGUUCCUGGGGAUAGCUCCAACAUGUGUUUGCAACUAGGCCGAGUCCACCACCACAGCAGGGGCUGGCGCUCAGUGUGAUAUUGGUUUUCACCAGCUGUUUGGGGAGCGAGACACAUGACAGAAAAGAAACUCAACGAAGAGCUGGAAGCUGAGCGCAGGAAGGCCUGUCCUCAGUUGUAUAAAGUGGCCGCACAGUCACAUGCCCAGACGGUUCUCCUUCUCAUCUCACACCCUCGAAUGUAAGCGUUGUGUUCACCACACAGUUCCUUCUGCA
rnacentral:lncRNA from 1 species